UAUCCACAGGGACAACAGUCACUCAAAAGCAAAAAAGAUUCCAAACGAGUCGUCUUCUAUUCCAAGUACUGGUACCAUGAACUAUGUUGGCAAAUUAGAUCAUGUGAUUGGCUGAAGGAUCUGACUCGUCAUGAACCUUGGGGGAGGAGCAAUAACGUCAGAGUGUGGUGAGAGUACAGCAGACUGGCAAAGAUUUGUUUCAAGUAUUGCAAGUCCUUAAUCAAGUGGGCUCCUUACAAGAAGAGGAAAAUGGAUAGAAGAGCGAGGACUCCAAUUCCUGAGGACCCUGUGAAAAGCAAUAAACCACCACUGGUGGAAAAAGAUGACCUGGAGUCACAGGAUGAAACUAGGAAGUUGGAGAUUUCUGAAGCUGUUAAAGAGCCUCAGUCCAGCAAUGAUGGUGUGCCAGUGAAUGCAGACGAUGUUGCUGAUGGGAAAGGAAAAUGACUGUCAAUAAAGACACACAAACAUAGCUACACACACACAAGCAUGCAUGCACCUGCACACAGAUGUUCA